rnacentral:rRNA from 1 species
UACGAAGGGGGCUAGCGUUGCUCGGAAUCACUGGGCGUAAAGGGUGCGUAGGCGGGUCUUUAAGUCAGGGGUGAAAUCCUGGAGCUCAACUCCAGAACUGCCUUUGAUACUGAGGAUCUUGAGUCCGGGAGAGGUGAGUGGAACUGCGAGUGUAGAGGUGAAAUUCGCAGAUAUCAGGAGGAACACCGAUGGCGAAGGCAGCUCGCUGGGACGGUACUGACGCUGAGGCGCGAAAGCGUGGGGAGCAAACAGG